AUGGAAUUAAAAGAUACCAUAGUAGAGAAUGGUAUGAGUAGUAGAGUUAUUUCAAGAUGGAAGUGGGGUGACAAUUUGAUGGAUUUUGUAAGAGCUUGUCGAGAAAGAAUAAUUUCAUUUGGAUAAUGAUCGGACGAUUAGUGUCGGAGUUGGAUGAAACCUUAGGAGGUUGAGAUGGAACUGAGAGCGAAGUAUCAUUUUUUGGAUGUUUGGAAAUAAGAAAGUAUCAGAGAGAGUGUUUUGUAACAUUCGGAAGUAAGAAUGAGAUUGACAACGACUUAUUGGAAAAGUCGGUGGAGA
rnacentral:lncRNA from 1 species